UACGUAGGGAGCAAGCGUUGUUCGGAUUUACUGGGCGUAAAGGGCGCGUAGGCGGCGCGGUAAGUCACUUGUGAAAUCUCUGAGCUUAACUCAGAACGGCCAAGUGAUACUGCAGUGCUAGAGUGCAGAAGGGGCAAUCGGAAUUCUUGGUGUAGCGGUGAAAUGCGUAGAUAUCAAGAGGAACACCUGAGGUGAAGACGGGUUGCUGGGCUGACACUGACGUGAGGCGCGAAAGCCAGGGGAGCAAACGGG
rnacentral:rRNA from 1 species